GAUGAACGCUGGCGGCGUGCCUAAUACAUGCAAGUCGAGCGAACAGACGAGGAGCUUGCUCCUCUGACGUUAGCGGCGGACGGGUGAGUAACACGUGGAUAACCUACCUAUAAGACUGGGAUAACUUCGGGAAACCGGAGCUAAUACCGGAUAAUAUAUUGAACCGCAUGGUUCAAUAGUGAAAGACGGUUUUGCUGUCACUUAUAGAUGGAUCCGCGCCGCAUUAGCUAGUUGGUAAGGUAACGGCUUACCAAGGCAACGAUGCGUAGCCGACCUGAGAGGGUGAUCGGCCACACUGGAACUGAGACACGGUCCAGACUCCUACGGGAGGCAGCAGUAGGGAAUCUUCCGCAAUGGGCGAAAGCCUGACGGAGCAACGCCGCGUGAGGGAUGAAGGGCUUCGGAUCGUAAAACUCUGUUAUUAGGGAAGAACAAAUGUGUAAGUAACUAUGCACGUCUUGACGGUACCUAAUCAGAAAGCCACGGCUAACUACGU
rnacentral:rRNA from 1 species